rnacentral:rRNA from 1 species
CGCGAAAAACCUUACCUACACUUGACAUGCCAGAAAUCCUGCAGAGAUGUGGGAGUGCCGCAAGGAAUCUGGGCACAGGUGCUGCAUGGCUGUCGUCAGCUCGUGUCGUGAGAUGUUGGGUUAAGUCCCGCAACGAGCGCAACCCUUGUCACUAGUUGCUACAUUUAGUUGGGCACUCUAGUGAGACUGCCGGUGACAAACCGGAGGAAGGUGGGGAUGACGUCAAGUCCUCAUGGCCCUUAUGUGUAGGGCUACACACGUCAUACAAUGGUCGGUACAGAGGGUUGCCAACCCGCGAGGGGGAGCUAAUCUCACAAAGCCGAUCGUAGUCCGGAUCGCAGUCUGCAACUCGACUGCGUGAAGUCGGAAUCGCUAGUAAUCGUGGAUCAGCAUGUCACGGUGAAUACGUUCCCGGGUCUUGUACAC